UAGCCAACCGGAUUCCUUUCGGUUCUGACCAAGAUCGCUGCAGACACACAGACGUCGAGCUGCCGUUAUUAAACAAAGGAAACUUAUCUAAAAGAAUAUCUUUAAUUUUUUGAGAAAUUGUUUUGUUUUUCCACUUUAUCCUGCCCUUCAGACGUGUGUACAUUGCUGAAUGGGACUUGGCCAUUUAAGUUGGAGUGGAGAAAAGUUGAGCUAGUACUGAAGUGGGACUUCAUACGCGGUGAAACGAGAUGGCGAGCCACCGGACCUGAUGAGCUGUGAAAUUGCUGAUCUGUGCAUGUGGAGCAACAUGCUGUCUGCUGAGUGUUGACCGUUUUCAUCCGAACUGGUUGCCAUGGUUGCAGAAAUUGGAGGGACAUCUUUGGACGACACAACAAGACGAAUAAUGGCAUUCCUGAUGUCCCAUGAACUGGCGCUCCAGUUCAAUCUCUUUGGUCAUCAUGGAAAACACAAGUUCCGGGACCUGCGUCUGUUUGAUGUUGUGUAUGGGGCACUUAAAAGAAAUGGAUGCAUCCAGGGAAUCACACAGAAAGAUGCAGAAAAGGCCCUCUCUAAGUGGUUUACCGGAGCUCGUGAUAGAGGUGGAAACAGGAAAGCCAGAGCCAAUAGGGAGGCUGCCAAUUCAAAUCCAGAUUCUGUUACAGAUGACGCCUCACUUUGGCGAUGGACCGCCAAUGCAGGUGCCCUGACAUCAUCAUAAGGGCGCCCGUCUGUGAUGACGAUCAUGAUCUUGUCGGCAUGCAACCAUCUGAUGUGGUGGUUAGCAAAACUGGGACACCGCAGGGGACAGUUCUAUCUCCAUUCCUGUUUACCUUGUACACCUCAGAUUUCCAGUACAGUGAAACAUACCACCUGCACAAGUUCUCUGAUGACACUGCACUGGUUGGGUGUAUUAAGUGUACAGGGAGCUGGGGAGGAGCUUUGUGAAGCGGUCCAGCAGAAAUCACCUCUUUCUCAAUAUCAGCAAGACAAAAGAGAUGGUGGUCAACUUCCAGAGGAAUAAAACUCCAUUAACAUCAUGGGAGAGGACGUGGAAACAGUGGACAGCUACAGACACCUGGGAGCUCGCAUGAAUGACAGACUGGACUGGAGGACCAACAGUGAAUCUGUGUAUAGGAAGGAGAUGAGCAGAUGUUGGAGAUCCUCUACCAGUCUGUGAUAGCAAGUGCCAUCUACUUUGCUGUUGUCUGCUUUUUUUGUGCUGGUGCUGGGGAUCUCACCCACUCCCCACUAAUGACGCAGCAGAGAGCUUUCUCCCUCAGACUGAUUCA